UGCUAGGAUUAAAGAAUGUGCCACUGAAAGACCCCCGAAGGGAGACCCCUCACUCAAGCCUCGGGAAAGGCGCGCACCCAGUAGGCACCAAGACCA
rnacentral:pre_miRNA from 11 species